CUCCUAACAUGAACCUCACGCCGAUAACAAACAGCUCCCGUCUUGGCUGAAAAACAUCCAGCGCUGCCGACGUCCACACGGGGUCGAAAUGGUACCUAGCUAGUUAACUAGCACAGUUGUGCUAGCUGGAUCACUGCAAGACCAUACUGAUUGAUGUCUGCAGAUGUGCUUCAGGUUGGCCAGUGUGUAAACCAGCUGGGCUUGGAAUGGAGACUCAUUACCAAAAGUGGUGCAGUCCAGAGCAAGCAGAAUGACAGCUCUCAGCCCAACACACCUGGAAUCUCCUCUCAUCACCCUGCUGCUGAGCAAGCAUGGUCUGGAUCUUCUCCAGCAUGCCUCCUGCCUUUGCCCUAAGCUUUAGUGCUUCCAGUCUGGUCACGGUCUUCCUCAACUCUGACAUGGCUUGGGGGAGGAUCAGAACAACAGUGUAUUGGCCUUCGUCAGCAGUAAGGUCCUUGUCUUGUCCAGGAACACUGAGGGCUCUGUGGACAUGGGGGAUCCAGCGAGUUCCCUUGACGCUAGAGGUCCUUGUCUUGUCCAGGAACACUGAGGGCUCUGUGGACAUGGGGGAUCCAGCGAGUUCCCUUGACGCUAGAGGUCCUUGUCUUGUCCAGGAACACUGAGGGCUCUGUGGACAUGGGGGAUCCAGCGAGUUCCCUUGACGCUAGAGGUCCUUGUCUUGUCCAUGCCGCAGGAACACUGAGGGCUCUGUGGACAUGGGGGAUCCAGCGAGUUCCCUUGACGCUAGAGGUCCUUGUCUUGUCCAUGCCGCAGGAACACUGAGGGCUCUGUGGACAUGGGGGAUCCAGCGAGUUCC